AAAGGGUUCAACAACGCACGGUUCCCUUCAGCUGCGCCUCCUCCUUCCUCUGGGCUCUGCCUUCCCUAAACCCUUUCCGUUUGUUUCUCCAGAAAAAUUUCUAAAUCAUAACACUUUUUAAUUAUUAUUCUCAUUAUUUUUUAUAUAAUUUGGUUGUUAUUGUCCAUGGCCUCCUCUAAGAAGCCCCAAAGGUCCCUCGAGGAAAUCGAGGAUAUCAUCCUCCGCAAAAUCAUGCUAGUCUCCCUCACCGACUCCAUAGUUGCUGAUUCUCGAAUUGUCUACUUGGAGAUGACCGCAGCAGAGAUCCUUAGUGAAGGGAAAGACUUGAAGGUGAAUCGCGACUUGGUGGAACGCGUGCUGAUUGAUCGCCUAUCGGGACAAUUCCCAGGAGCUGAGCCUCCGUUCCAGUACCUACUUGGCUGCUAUCGCCGCGCGACGGAAGAGGAGAAGAAAAUUGCUAAUAUGAAGGACAAAAAUAUCAAAUUAGAAUUGGAAUCCUCAAUCAAGCAAGCGAAGAAGUUGUUCGUUUCUUAUUGUAGAAUUCAUUUGGGGAAUCCAGACAUGUUCCCUUUUAAUUCUGAUCCUAAAAAAUCCAAUGUUUCGCCGCUUCUUCCUCUCAUUUUCGCUGACGUAGAUGAGUUUAACAGCGGCGGAACACAGCCGCCGCCUCCGAGGUUUUUGGAAGAUUUGUUUCUGGAAGGGGAUUUUGAUAGCUUGGACCCCAUAUUGAAGGGGCUUUACGAGGAUUUGAGAGGGAAUGUUAUAAAGGUAUCAGUGUUGGGGAAUUUUCAGCAGCCUUUAAGGGCGUUGAAGUUUUUGCUUACUUUUCCCGUGGGAGUUAAGUCCCUUGUGAAUCAUCCGUGGUGGAUUCCCAAAGGGGCUUAUUUGAAUGGAAGAGUUAUCGAAAUGACCAGUAUUUUGGGGCCCUUUUUUCAUGUUAGUGCAUUGCCUGAUCACACCAUUUUCAAGAGCGAGCCGGAUGUUGGACAGCAGUGUUUCUCUGAAGUAUCGACUCGUCGACAAGCUGAUUUGUUAUCUUCAUUCACCACAAUUAAGACUCUUAUGAAUAAUCUAUAUGAUGAUCUAGAAAAGGUUCUCUUCACUUUGCUUAAAAGCAGUGAUACACGUGAGAAUGUUCUUCAAUAUCUUGCUGAGGUGAUCAAUAGAAAUCCAUCGAGAGCCCAUAUACAGGUUGAUCCUAUAUCUUGUGCAAGUUCAGGCAUGUUUGUUAAUCUAAGUGCUGUCAUGCUUAAGCUUUGUGAACCAUUUUUGGAUCUAAAUUUGACAAAAAGGGAUAAGAUUGAUCCAAAAUAUGUGUUUUA
rnacentral:misc_RNA from 1 species